GAGCAGGAAGUUGCUCGGCCCCCCCCCCCCCCCCCCCCCCCCCACUCCCCGAGGAGCGGCUGUGUCUGACGCGGCGUUUUGCUCGCCUUACGAGAAAGGGAGCUGGUGUUGCCCGUAAUGGAGGCAGAGUGGAAGGCAGGAAUAAAUUACGGGAAUAUUUUUUUCUUCUUUUUUUUUCCCUUGUUGCUUUCCUUCCCACCACCAAAAGCAUAGAGUGGCGCCAUUGCUCUGUGGGAUGUGGGCCCUUGUGCAGCGCAGAAGGCUGCGGUGUUUAACCCGCGGUUAAACUCUGACCGUCUCCGUAGCUCCCCUCAUGCAGGGACUCAGCCAGAAAGACUCCUCAAGGGAACAGCUUAGCGUUCCCAUCCGAGGGGAUUCUGUGGUGGAACCUAAAGUUAAAUCCAUCUUUUUUUUUUCUCUGUGUUUUGGAGACAGCCUUUGUUUCACCACAUGCUGUGCCACAGCCUACCCCACAGUGCAAAACAGGUCUGCCACAGCCCUGUUCUCUUUCUGUUGGGCUGGUAGGGUUUAAUGUUGGACUCUGGACGUUGCUGACUCCAGUUCCUACUGCAUGGGACCCAGGAAAGGUUAGGUGUUGGGAUAUUGGUGCCAGGUGUGUCACGAAUGGGCUGUUUCUGCAGGUUUUAGCAGUUGGGUUAGCAGCCUUUGAAAGUUUGCUCUGGGAUACACCUGAGCAGAAGGUGGGAAGACUUAGUGCAGGUCCUGGAUAAAAAAAGAAUACAGUUCUUCCUUGAAAAGAAAAAGAAAACAAAAGACAGUUUGCCUUGGAUACAGGUACCAACCCAUCCCAACGGGAUAUGCCCUCAUAUGUUGCUUUACUUGUGGUGGAAACUGACAUCACUAGAGGAACCAGGAUGCCAGUGGGUGAGAAGCAGCACCAUGAAGGCUUGGUGGUUUCUGUUGACUUUUGUGUUUUCAUCCAGCUUCCUCCAGCUGGUCCCUGCUGCCCUUGUGCCUUGUGGCUGGCAGACACAACUGGUACAUGUGUCCUGUACUGCUUUGGGGAAGUGCAGCUGCUGCUGAUGGCUCAGAAGAAAGCAGGAAUUCCUCAUCAGCCAAGGCACCUUUCUCUACAACCUGCGGCCUGGCAGGAUAAAUUAAGAAACCCAGACUACUUUCAAAGUCCCAACUCCUGAAUGCCCCACCUCAGCCAAGCGUCGUGUGGCUCUUGCAGAAGCCAGUGCAAGCAAAGGCAGGGAACAACCUGCCCAAAUAAUAAAUUCUUAGAAACCAACAGCCUACUAAAGGCAAGUGUGGGUGGGUAAACCCUCUCUAAACUAGAAGGAAAAGUGUGUCUUUUCUCUGGUGCCAUAUGUGGCCACUUGUCUCUUGCUGUGCUCACAGCCACUUGACUUUACAGGCUUAGGCAUACAGCAGUUUGAAGUUCAAAAUGUUGCUGUAUGAUUGUUGUAUGGAUGCCUAAAAUAACUGGACAGUAAUAUAAUUUAUAUUUAUAUCUGUGCUUGAUUCUUAGAUUGUAGUAAUUACUAUAAUGACAGCACAUAAUAAAAAUGGUACAGAGGAAUGUGUGUCCUCUAAAUGGGGAAAAACCUAUACCCCCAGAAAACACACCCUGUUUUCUUAUUACUUUUGGUUUGAUUUUUUGUUUGGUUUUUUUUUUUGUUUGUUUGUUUUUGUUUUGUUUUUUUAAACUGUGGAAUAUCUCAUUGUUUAGCUCAACAAUGCUGUAGCUGUCCCAUGUACACAGUCACUCAUCCAUAGGAGCCUCAGCUUCUCAGGUGCCCUCACUCCCACCCACCUUCCUCACAACCACAAAUGCAACAUACUUCUCUCCCCCAGGCUGCUGGAGAGUGGAUGUUAAAAAUAUACUAGUUGACUGUGGAGAAGUUGAAAAUCACGUGAAUUUCAUGAUUCAGCAGGCUGCUGUAUGAUGUGUCAUACCCAGGAGUCACUGGAUAGAAUGGUGGCCAGUAGAUGGCUCUUUGCAAAUAUGGGCUGGCAGAGAACGGGGAAGCACUUAAAGACAUUCAGGAAGGUGUGUUUGCUUGCUUCUGGAAGUCAGAAAAUGUGUUCUGAGGAGGGGCAGAGUGAAAAGGCAAUGUAACUUUGAAAAAUUAGUCCCUCGAUAGUUUCUCUUGCAGAAAAUCUGAAGACAUAGACAAAUGCCUGAGCCACCCAUGCACUAUAACUGAGUAUAUCUUUGCCACACUCCUUGGAUGUGUGCGAAACAUGUGGGAGAGGAAGUCAGAAGAUCUAAAUUUAGAUGCCCUCAAGUGAAUUAAUCAGUACCACUUAGGUGUAGGCCAGUAAAAAGGACUGUAUUUUUGGAGAGCUCAUGCUAUACCACAGUCAUCACAAACAUCCAGGUGGGAAUUCAAUUUGUGUUUUUUAGUCACCUUUAAAGCUCCCGUGGUGGAAGGCAUCCUUUAUUUUUUGGGCUUUGUUUGUGUUGUUUUCUGUCACAGGUGAGAGCAACAUGGGCCAGCGGUAGGAAAGAUCUUCACCCUGGAGGUGAACUCAGGGUGUGCUCAGGGUCAGACCUGCAGCAGGGUUUUGGGAGGCUGAGCAAAUUACAGUUUCAGUUCUUUCUGAGCUGCUGGGAGAGGUGGGAAGCAGGGUAGAAAAGGUGAGCAGCACUAAUCCCUGAUAGGAUGACCAACGAGGCAGGUUGUAAAUCAUGGUGUCCAUCUGGAUGAAUGAGCCAGAGCUGUGACACAUGGUCCUGGUGUGAUGCCUCCCCAGCUCCACAUGUCUUUCCAGAUCUGUAGUUUAAAGGCUUUGGAGCCAUGAAUCACCUUUCCAGGGCUUGAUUUUUCUUUUCUUCUUAUAUGCCAGUGCAUGUCGCUGGAUAGAGGAAUGCUAUGGAGUGGUGAGACCCAAGGUAGGCUGUAGGUCUGCAACUGCACAUCCAUGAGCAUAUCUAAGAAAAACUUCUGUCUCCUAAAACCACUCUUAAGUGUCCUGACCUCUCAAAUGUGUCAUUCAGUAAAAGGCACAGCUACAAGGAUAAUAAUACUACAACCAUGGCACAGAUGGUCAGUCAUGUCCAACAUUACAAAACGGUGCAUCCAGCUGCAGAAAUGAGGCAGCUGCUAGAGGCAACAACUCCAGCCAUAGCAGCAUCAGAUUUUACCAUAGGAAAGCCAGGUUAUUUGCCAUUGUCUUGCAAUGUAAAUUUAGAGUGUAACAUCUGGCCCUGACACUGCAACAGGGCAGCAACCUUUAAUUGUACUUUCCCUUUCCUUCCAGCCUGCCCUUCUGGACGAUUUUGCUUUUGUAACUCAUGUAUUAAAGAUGCAAUAAAUGUUUAAUAAUA